CAAGUCGAACGCGAAAGCUCCCUUCGGGGAGCAAGUAGAGUGGCGCACGGGUGAGUAACACGUAGGUAAUCUACCUUUGGAUGGGGAAUAACAACCGGAAACGGUUGCUAAUACCGCAUAAUGCAGCGGCACCUAAUGGUGACAGUUGUUAAAGCGGGGGAUCGUAAGACCUCGCGUCUAAAGAGGAGCCUGCGGCGGAUUAGCUAGUUGGUAAGGUAACGGCUUACCAAGGCGAUGAUCCGUAGCCGGCCUGAGAGGGCGGUCGGCCACACUGACACUGACAUACGGGUCAGACUCCUACGGGAGGCAGCAGUCGGGAAUUUUGGGCAAUGGGCGAAAGCCUGACCCAGCAACGCCGCGUGAAGGAUGAAAUCCCUCGGGAUGUAAACUUCGCAAGAACAGGAAGAAUAAGUGGAAGUUAAUAUCUUCCAUGAUGACGGUACUGUUUGUAAGCUCCGGCUAACUCCGUGCCAGCAGCCGCGGUAAUACGGGGGGAGCAAGCGUUGUUCGGAUUUACUGGGCGUAAAGGGCGCGUAGGCGGCCACCGCAAGUCGACUGUGAAAUCUCUGGGCUUAACCCAGAACGGUCAGCCGAUACUGCGGGGCUAGAGUGCAGAAGGGGCAACUGGAAUUCUCGGUGUAGCGGUGAAAUGCGUAGAUAUCGAGAGGAACACCUGCGGCGAAGGCGGGUUGCUGGGCUGACACUGACGCUGAGGCGCGAAAGCUAGGGGAGCGAACGGGAUUAGAUACCCCGGUAGUCCUAGCCUUAAACGAUGAAUGCUUGGUGUCUGGGGUUUUAUAGUCCCCGGGUGCCGUC
rnacentral:rRNA from 1 species